UCGCCAUCUGCCGGUGCCGGGGGCUCAGCUCUCUUCUUUAACUCGCUUACCGACAACACUUCGAGCAAGCUCGCGCGCGCACUCACUCUCAUUCACUGAGCCAUUACUCAGCUCACCUACUCCAGAUCUCAUGGUGCCCUCGCGCUGCAGCCGCCACCACCGCCUCCUCCCCACGACCAUGGCCGCAGCGUGCUUCCUCCUCCUCCUCGCGCUCUACGCCGCGCCGGCGCCGGCCCACGGCGCGCGCGCCCUGACGCGGGGCGGCGCGGGCGCGGUCACCAAGGCGGCGCAGCAGGGCGGGACCAGCAGCAACGCGACAGCAGCGGCGGCGGCGAACGAGUACCUGGCGCCGCACAACCAGGCGCGCGCGGCGGUGGGCGUGGCCCCGCUGCGGUGGAGCGGGGACCUGGCGUCGGCCGCGGCGGCGGUGGUGGUGCGGCAGCAGCGGCAGGGCGGGUGCGCGUUCGCGGACAUGGGCGGCAGCCCCUACGGCGCGAACCAGGGGUGGGCGAGCUACCGCGCGGCGCCCGGCGAGGUGGUGGCGUCGUGGGUGGCGACGGGCCAGUACUACACCCACGCGAACAACACGUGCGCGCCGGGGCGGCAGUGCGGCACCUACACGCAGGUGGUGUGGCGCCGCACCGCCGAGGUCGGCUGCGCGCAGGCCACCUGCGCCACCGGCGCCACGCUCACCGUCUGCCUCUACAACCCGCACGGCAACGUGCAGGGACAGAGCCCCUACUAGAUGUGCGAGCUCGGUGGGGGGCGACCGGCUGAUCGAUCGGGUUGGUGCUCCCUCCUGCUGAGCCGCCGACGCCGAUGCCACCGGCGCUGGAGCGCGAUGCGGCAUGGUUAGAGUAAGAGACGCCUACUACGUAGCUCUAGUAUUUUCAGGUUCGGUCACGGUUUGCUUCGUGUUUGUGGUGUGUGAUCCGGUGGUGUUCUUGGUGUUAAGAACUGCUUUGGUGUGGCGUGUUAACUUGAGUUGCCGGGGAAACGCUUGUGAUGUGAUGCUUUCUUGUUCCUUGUGUCGAUCGGCGUUAGACUCGCUGUGCUGCGUAGAAAUGGCUGCACAAUCAGGCUCUGUUUGAUCACCCAUGGGCUGCAGAGUUGGAGCAGGGGAUUUCCAUAUGAAUCGGGGCUGGCAAUCAAACAGAUGUGCGGCAGAUCAAACUGCAUGCUUGUUACUACAAUUUUUUUGCUUAGUGACUGGGGCAACCGACACACUGGCAAAAGCGAAUUGAUCGUCCCCUUUCUUUUAGAGGACCGUCAAUUGCUGGCGUUUCUUUAGUGGUGCAGGCGCUACUAUAUUGUUAAACCCACAGUUUUGGCAAAUCCGUAAUGCCUGCCAGUCUGUUUUGCUCACACCAAAAAAGAAUGGUCAAGAACACAGAAAUGAAGCACGGCAGACUAGGACCGGUCCCAGUUCGCCAUCGUCGGCGCGCCACAUGCUGCCGGCUUGAGAUCCCUCAAACCUCACCGAACGAUGGAGAGCGGCCAGCGGUGAGUAUCACCUCGCGAGUCGCGCCAGCAAUGGAGCUCCGUGGUUGGCGUGUUCCCCAAACGAGGGCGCCGUGGCUACAAACGCUGGGCCGCUCGUCACAUGGCUAAUGGCUUGGUGACUUGGCACGGGCACGAACGGCACACACAACUGAGACAAGGCAGCACGCG
rnacentral:lncRNA from 1 species